rnacentral:rRNA from 1 species
AUUGAACGCUGGCGGAAUGCUUUACACAUGCAAGUCGAACGGUAACGCGGGGCAACCUGGCGACGAGUGGCGAACGGGUGAGUAAUGCAUCGGAACGUGCCCAGUAGUGGGGGAUAGCCCGGCGAAAGCCGGAUUAAUACCGCAUACGACCUACGGGUGAAAGGGGGGGAUCGCAAGACCUCUCGCUAUUGGAGCGGCCGAUGUCAGAUUAGGUUGUUGGUGGGGUAAAGGCCUACCAAGCCGACGAUCUGCAGCUGGUCUGAGAGGACGACCAGCCACACUGGGACUGAGACACGGCCCAGACUCCUACGGGAGGCAGCAGUGGGGAAUUUUGGACAAUGGGCGAAAGCCUGAUCCAGCCAUGCCGCGUGCGGGAAGAAGGCCUUCGGGUUGUAAACCGCUUUUGUCAGGGAAGAAAUCUUCUGGGUUAAUACCUCGGGAGGAUGACGGUACCUGAAGAAUAAGCACCGGCUAACUACGUGCCAGCCGCCGCAGUAA